ACAAAGAAGAGUUUGAUCCUGGCUCAGGAUGAACGCUAGCGGCAGGCUUAACACAUGCAAGUCGAGGGGCAGCAUAUGAAG
rnacentral:rRNA from 1 species